ACCUCUGUGGUGUAGUGGUAGCACGCCCCCCCCCCCCCCCCCCCCCCCCAUAUGGGUAAAACACGGAUUCGACUCCCGUUUGAGGUC